AGUGAACGCUGGCGGUAGGCCUAACACAUGCAAGUCGAACGGCAGCACAGUAAGAGCUUGCUCUUACGGGUGGCGAGUGGCGGACGGGUGAGGAAUACAUCGGAAUCUACUUUUUCGUGGGGGAUAACGUAGGGAAACUUACGCUAAUACCGCAUACGACCUACGGGUGAAAGCAGGGGAUCUUCGGACCUUGCGCGAUUGAAUGAGCCGAUGUCGGAUUAGCUAGUUGGCGGGGUAAAGGCCCACCAAGGCGACGAUCCGUAGCUGGUCUGAGAGGAUGAUCAGCCACACUGGAACUGAGACACGGUCCAGACUCCUACGGGAGGCAGCAAUGGGGAAUAUUGGACAAUGGGCGCAAGCCUGAUCCAGCCAUACCGCGUGGGUGAAGAGGGCCUUCGGGUUGUAAAGCCCUUUUGUUGGGAAAGAAAAGCAGCAGGUUAAUACCCCGCUGUUCUGACGGUACCCAAAGAAUAAGCACCGGCUAACUUCGUG
rnacentral:rRNA from 1 species